rnacentral:rRNA from 1 species
CCUACGGGGGGCAGCAGUGGGGAAUAUUGAGCAAUGGGCGCAAGCCUGACCCAGCAACGCCGCGUGAAGGAAGAAGGCUUUCGGGUUGUAAACUUCUUUUCUCAGGGACGAAGCAAGUGACGGUACCUGAGGACUAAGCCACGGCUAACUACGUGCCAGCAGCCGCGGUAAUACGUAGGUGGCAAGCGUUAUCCGGAUUUACUGGGUGUAAAGGGCGUGUAGGCGGGAAAGCAAGUCAGAUGUGAAAACCAUGGGCUCAACCUGUGGCCUGCAUUUGAAACUGUUUUUCUUGAGUACUGGAGAGGCAGACGGAAUUCCUAGUGUAGCGGUGAAAUGCGUAGAUAUUAGGAGGAACACCAGUGGCGAAGGCGGUCUGCUGGACAGCAACUGACGCUGAGGCGCGAAAGCGUGGGGAGCAAACAGGAUUAGAUACCCCAGUAGUC